rnacentral:tRNA from 1 species
GGAGAGCUGGCUCAGUGAUAAGGGCACUGGCUGCUCUUCCAGAACACCUGGGUUCAAUUCCCAGGAUCCACA